ensembl:processed_transcript RIKEN cDNA 2810410L24 gene
UCUUCCCGGAGGGCUCAGAGUUCGUCCCCUUUUCGCGAUUGGGAACGUGGACACGCUGGAGCCUGGAUGCAGAAGGGUGCGCGGGAGCAGCGAGCUGGUGCGCGAGCUGCAGCCCAGCGUCCAGGCCGCACCACUCUCUGCUGAUCCAAAGGACUACGGAAACCCUGCUUGCCGACGUUGGCCUGGGAGUUAGCGCGGGCCCUGGCGCUAGAAAAUGGAUCCCACUCCUAGAAAGGCGGGCCGGGUAUCCCGCUCCUGCCUCCUGGAGAAUUAGCUUGGCGGAGUGUGUGGCCGGGGAGGGAGGGAGGAAGGGAUGGAGGGAGGGACAGGCCUGGGGUCGACCAGCCGGGUAGGGAGUAGCUUCUGGGGAGCUCCUUUGCCUACGGAGGGCCGGCGAGGCUGCCCUCAGAGCGCCGCCAGUUAGCUGCAGCUGAGCCAGAAGCGUCCCCACUGGCUUACCCGAUAGUGGGAUUUUGCACAGUGUCGGCUAAGGGUGGCUUUGUGAGAAGACCAUUUCAGGAGAAGAAACGGGGCUCUGGCUGGUGGGGUAGAAACCCCUAUGGAAUGAAAAGUACUCCCAGUCUCUUUGAGGAAGAUUGCAAAGUAAGGGCCUUUUUGCGGAUAUUUCCCUAGAAACCCCGCUGGGCUCCGGC